rnacentral:misc_RNA from 1 species
AGGUAUUAUCACCCCCGCGAGGCUUGGUACUCUGUCCACGACAAUAACCACUACUGAUAGUACUCAUGUUCUACUGAUAGUACUCAUCUUACAUUACUUAUAUUGACAUCUGUGUAGUCAUGGAUUCUCAAUGGAACACGUGCUUCAUGUGUAAUCAUGGAAUCAGCAUUAUAGUGUUGUAUGUAUUGCCAUGGUCAAAUACCGUAAUGUUGCAAGAAUAAACAUUAAAUGUACAAUGUAUGCCCUGGUAAGAUCCACAUCAACAAUUUUGCAAGAAUAAUGAAGAAUUUUUAAAUCAUUUGUUUUCCCUAGCUUCUCAUUAUAACAUAUAUCUGAACACCUGUAUUUAUUAUGCUAGAUAUUUUUGCAAUAACCUCAUAUCAAGUGACUUCCAUGUACAAUGUUCAUAUUAAUUAAUAUGUAAAAGCUCUCUAAUGUCUAUGGAUUAUAAUUUUUUUAUGUUAAAUACUAGAUUGAUUACAUGUAAAUGAAGUAGCUACUUUCUUAUCUUUUGAUUGUUAAAAGUAGGUAUUUUUAUUAAUUUGGAAUUUAUACAUAUUUUUUAAUCAAAAUGUUUUGAUACACUUUAAAAUUAGUAUGAGUUGGCAAGAUCUUCUUUUUUUUUUUUUACAUUUAGUAUUGCUUCUUCCGUCCAUUUAGAGUUGUACAAAUGUAUUCCUGUAUUAAAAUGAAAAUAUAUUUAUUGAUUUCUUUUAAAAGCAUAUAUUCAUAUAGUUUCUGUGCCAAACUUUUUUUUCAUCUUUGGUAGUCAUAUUUAUAAAGUAUAAAUUAUUAGCUACUAGAGUUGAGCUGGAGGCAGAUCUGAGAUUGAACGUUGCUGUAUAUUAUUCGCUUUACGUGUACCGGUAGUUGCUUUUCGUGGCGAGUCUUUGAAAUUUUUUUUUAAACUUUACAAACCCGACAGAGACGUCUAAUUCUCUGAUGAUCCAUCAGCUGUCUGUGAUAUUUUGUUCCGUCCAUAAAAGGAAAACAUAGUGCUGUGUCGUAGAAUAGGAGUGGUGAAUGAAAGCAAGUGCAUGUGUACUAGUGUUGUGAGUGAUUGAGGGUAUGAGUGUUGACAUAGAAUAGGAUAUUGCAAUUUUUAGAUGUUAUUAGCUAGUGGGUUUUUUUUUUAUUUAUGCAUUAUUUGCAAAAUGUAUUUAUGAUAUUAUUAAUACAUGUAUAUAUUACAAAUAAAUAUGAUAUAUGUUCA